GAUGAACGCUGGCGGCGUGCCUAAUACAUGCAAGUCGAGCGAACAGACGAGGAGCUUGCUCCUCUGACGUUAGCGGCGGACGGGUGAGUAACACGUGGAUAACCUACCUAUCAGACUGGGAUAACUUCGGGAAACCGGAGCUAAUACCGGAUAAUAUAUUGCACCGCAUGGUUCAAUAGUGAAAGACGGUUUUGCUGUCUCUUAUAGAUGGAUCCAGGCCGCAUUAGCUAGUUGGUACGGUAACGGCUUACCAAGGCAACGAUGCGUAGCCGACCUGAGAGGGUGGUCGGCCACACUGGAACGGAGACACGGUCCAGACUCCUACGGGAGGCAGCAGUAGGGAAUCUUCCGCAAUGGGCGAAAGCUUGACGGAGCAACGCCGCGUGAGUGAUGAAGGUCUUCGGAUCGUAAAACUCUGUUAUUAGGGAAGAACAAAUGUGUAAGUAACUAUGCACGUCUUGACGGUACCUAAUCAGAAAGCCACGGCUAACUACGUG
rnacentral:rRNA from 1 species